AUCACAGCCUGCUCAGAAAGUCAUUGUGGAGCCUGGAAGCAUGCCUCUGCAAACAGAAAACCAUCUUCUAUGGGAAUUGCUUAUGCUGAAGAAGAAAUCCUUACAGUUUGUCACUAGCUGGUCCUACUGCGGUUCAUCUGUGUGCAGAUGCAGUUUCAUAGUGAUGUCCCCUCCUGUGUUCAUGGUGCUCCUGUGCCUGCAGAGACAUCAGUGUCACUGCAGCAACAAAACAGCUUCUGAAAGAAACAGCAUGGAGCAUCUCGGGCUGGAGUUCUCAUUAGAGAGACCACUACAGCAAAUGAUGCGAACUGGCAACUUUGUUGGCAGCCUUAGCAAAAAGAGCAUCUGGAGGGAGAUGCUAAAAUGGCCAUCUGCUCCUGGGAUUUCAGUUUCCAAAGCCAGAGUGAGGCUGAACAUGUUUAAUUUUGGACAAAAAAAAGAAGACACUGGCUUUCAGGGAAAGAAGAGACUUGCCUGCCUUGGUUAG
rnacentral:lncRNA from 1 species